rnacentral:rRNA from 1 species
UACUUAGGGUGCGAGCGUUAAUCGGAAUUACAGGGCGUAAAGCGUGCGCAGGCGGCUUUGCAAGACAGAUGUGAAAUCCCCGGGCUCAACCUGGGAACUGCAUUUGUGACUGCAAGGCUAGAGUACGGCAGAGGGGGAUGGAAUUCCGCGUGUAGCAGUGAAAUGCGUAGAUAUGCGGAGGAACACCAAUGGCGAAGGCAAUCCCCUGGGCCUGUACUGACGCUCAUGCACGAAAGCGUGGGGAGCAAACAGG